CGUGCCAGCAGCCGCGGUAAUACGUAGGGUGCAAGCGUUAAUCGGAAUUACUGGGCGUAAAGCGUGCGCAGGCGGUUAUGCAAGACAGAUGUGAAAUCCCCGGGCUCAACCUGGGAACUGCAUUUGUGACUGCAUGGCUAGAGUACGGUAGAGGGGGAUGGAAUUCCGCGUGUAGCAGUGAAAUGCGUAGAUAUGCGGAGGAACACCGAUGGCGAAGGCAAUCCCCUGGACCUGUACUGACGCUCAUGCACGAAAGCGUGGGGAGCAAACAGGAUUAGAUACCCUGGUAGUCCACGCCGUAAACGAUG
rnacentral:rRNA from 1 species